ensembl:lncRNA
AUUCAGAACAUAAAGAAUAGAUUUGGAACAGAUUUAUGGACUUAUUUAUAAUUCCUUAUGGUAUAGUUUGCAGAAGGCAACGGCACCCCACUCCAGUACUCUUGCCUGGAAAAUCCCAUGGAUGGAGGAUCCUGAUGGGCCACAGUCAAUGGAGUCACAAAGAGUCAGACAUGACUAAAGUGACUUAGAAGCAUGGUAUAGUUUGAUUAUUAAUAUGUGCUUUUUCAUGGUCAUUUCUAUCUGAUUUGGGAAAUAUCUAGAAGAGAAUCAGACGUGGAAAAGUAUGGAAUGAAAACUGUCAACAUUACCUUGAAAUCUACUUUGACCAGGAGGAGCCUUAUCUCCCUCUGCUUCUGUCAUUUUACAGUAUUACUUUGAAUGGAAGAGCAAAUCUGUACCAUCUCAGAAUGCUCUAAGCUUUUUGACAUCCACCUGACAAGUUUCUGUAUUGAACACUAUAUGCAGUAGAAAUAGAGACAGCUAUAUUUCCCGAGAGAGCUCAGGAGUCAAGAAGAAAUAGAGAGAGAUGUUCAUCUUGGUGGUAUAAAGUUUUUUAGAUAUACUGGAUAUAAAAUGAACUGAAGAGAAAAAGAUCCCAACCCCUGCCUUGUUUUAGAUGCCUGAUAAAGAUCUUAAAUGCCAAUACUGUUGACGCAGAAGACCACACUGUGAUAUCUAAGCUUUAAAGUGACAAUUCAAAGUGCUGUGGUAGAGAUGAAUGCAGCAUGCUCUGAAUGAAGAAAGGAGAGCA